GGGCAUGGGCGGUGGUGGAAUAAUCACCUAGAAGAUUUGCUUCCCUUCCACAUCCUGAGCUCGAACCAGGUGGCGCCCCGAGGAAGUGACAGUCAGUUACGCUAGAGAGAAGCGUGGGCAGUUUCAGCAGCGCGAUUUUCUGGCAAGAGGGGAGCGAGGCGAGUUUGUGCCCAAGGAGUCUUGGUGGGGGAGUCUCUUUCUAAAACCGAACUGAGUUUGCUCAUCCUGCCUGUUGCUUUCAUUGCAGAGGUGCCUGGAGACGGCGGGACAUGGGGGGAGCCCCAUCUCGGGGCGGCAGGUGCCGCAGGAUCCUCUGGGUCGGGGUCUUGGGGGGGAUGCCUGCGGGACCCAGGCCUGGAGCUCUGGCCUCUCAGCGGGUGACUUCCGGAGAGGCUCUCGGCCUUGCCGAGUCUCCAUUUUCCUCAUCUCUGCAGCGAGAAGAAAGAUCUUGUCCUGUUGCCUUCUGGGAUUGUUGGGGAAUCAUGUAACCUGGUGUAACAUGUGUGGUUGCUCUAUGCCUGCAAGUUAUCCCAAAAUCUGCCGUGGAGUUUCCAAUUGAUGUGGAUGAAUUUUCUGUGUUGACCAGACCACGAGCUCCCUGAAUCCGGGCAGUGACUUUCCUUCUUCGUGUGGCCCGCACCGGGCACUGUGCCUGGAACAGAAGUCCGUAGGGUUCACACCCAGAAAAGCUGGCUCUGGGACGACUGGCGGGCACGGUUUAGAGAAGCGUCUGGCCCUGACGUGCCAGCCAGCGUUGGUGCCAGGAGCGAGCGGCGAGCCCUGACAGAUCCGAGCUCCUCGGAUCCUUGGACGGAAUGUGCUGAGGGCUCGAAUUACCAUGAAGAGAGCAAGCCACACGCCUUUUGGGUAAAUCCGCUGCAGUCACCCCUGGGCACGCCUUUCUAAUCACUGCCCGACCACAAGGAGCAGACCGUGCCCCAUUGACACAGGCCCUGGGCUUCCUGGGGAUGGUCCCCUGGGAAGGAGGGAGUCAAGUUCUGAGUCUACUGCCUGUCCAGGUUUGGGCUUUGAGGGCAGAGGGGCUGGCUCCUCCCUGGGUGUCCCCAGCGCAGACAGGGCUCCCCCACCCUUGCUUCAAGCCAAAGCCUCGGCCUGUCCAGGACUCCUCGUUUCGCCUCUAUUCAAUUCAUCCAAAAGUCUGAGGACCGACUGCCCCGGUUUGCCUGAAACCAAGGGUGUUCCCGGGAUGUAGACUUUCAGCGGUGACCCCAAGAUAUCCCGGCCAGAGCAGAACAAGCUGGUCACCCUCUCCUGCGCAAAAGCUGCUGAGCUGGAGAGGGGCCGGAGGCAGAGAUGAUAGCCAGAGUAAAGAAUUUCACUCUAGACAGGAUGGGGAGACACCGCGGGGAUUUACGUAGGGUCCAAAUCUGACCUGGUGUGAUGCAUUUUCCUAACCAACCCCUGGUGGCAGCGUGGUGAACAAAUCGUAGUGAGAACCAGAGUGGAAAGCUGGAGACUGGUGAGGGAGCUGGCGCUCAUCCGGGUGAGCAAGCCUGGUGGCUCAGACCAGAGCGGUUACAGUGGACGUUGUGGUGUGCCACCCGCCUCCCCUCCAGGAGCCCGGAGCUCGUUCCCCUGGUGGCCGGGAGUGCUGGCUGCGGACAGCUCGCUCCCCUACACGUCCCAUGACUGGUUGACUUGGGUGUUCAGACCCUGCUCCCUGCCCUCAGCUGAGAACAGCAUCGCAGGGCCGCCCCGCCCCAGGGAUCCAGUGGGGUCUGCUUCAUCCCUCUCUGCCUCCUUUGCUUCUUUGCCGGUGCUAUUCUGGAGACUUCUCCGGCAACUUGUCUCCUGGCUACCCCCCAUCUCAGCCUCCAACUCCUGGUAAACCUGGCCUGGGACAGUGGUACAGUGAAAGAGGGAAGAAAGCGUUGUGCCGGUGCGCGCCUGUAUGAGUGUGCACGUAUGUAUACACACAUUUUAUAAGGUAAAAUUUGUAUACGGUAAACGCACAAAAUCUUAAAUAUACGGGGUGCUGAAUGUUGAAAUACGUAUUUAUCUUCAUAACCCCCACUCAGAUCAAAACAUGUAUUUCCGGGGUGCCGGGGAGGCUCAGUCAGUUGAGUGUCUGACUUCGGCUCAGGUCGUGAGCUCAGGGUUUGUGAAUUUGAGCCCCGAGUCAGGAUCUCUGCUGUCAGCGCGGAGCCUGCUUUGGAUCCUCUGCCCGCCCCCUUUGCCCUUCCCCCACUCUUGCUCCCUCUCUCAAAAAUGAAUGAAUAUUUAAACGACAACAAAAAUAUAUACAGUAAAACCAUGGUUUACGAGCAUAAUUCAUUCUGGAAACGUGCUUGUAAUCCAAAGCACUUGUAUAUCAAAGUGAAUUUCAGGAACCAUUGGCUCAGUUGUGAUCAUGUGACAUUUGUCAUCACGUAUCAGUCAUAUUGCAAGACCACUUGUUCAUCAAGUUAAAACUUAUUAGAAAUGGUUUGCUCAUCUUGUGGAACACGCACAGAAGAAGUUACUCAUUAUCCAAGGUUUAACUGUAUUUCCUUCACUCCUAGAAAUUUCCUUGUGAUUUUUCCAGUUCGUAAUAUCCCUCCAGGUAACUACCGUUCUGACUUCUACAAUAAUCUGAUCAAAGAUGAGUUUUUGUUUGCUCUUGAACUUCAUAUAAAUGGAGCCAUGAGUAGGCACAUUUUGCCGAACAUCACACUUCUGAGAUUUUUUUUAAGGUUGCUGGGUUUAUCAGAUCUUUUUUAUUUCUGAGGAAUGUGUGCUUCUUGUAAACAGUUUGUAGUUGGGUUUAUUUUUUGUUGUUUUAUUUAUUUUAAUCUUGCUUGACCAUCUCUAUCAUAUAAGUGAGGUAUUUAGUUGUCUCAUCUUUGUUCUGUUGGGCCUCCUUGUCUGCCUUCCUUUGAUUAAUCAAGUGUCUUUAUUACUCCAUUGUGUUUCCUGUAUAGUCUUUGCACCUAACCCUUUCAGUUAAUAUUUUUGAGGUUGCUCCAGAAACUGUAAGUAUACAUUCUUAAUUUAUUGCAAUUACUUUUAACUUGGUCCCAUAGUCAUUCAUGCAGCAAAUAAAAGCUUUACAGCAGUAUAAUUCCACCUGCUGCUCUAGUCUGUCCUGUUAUAAACCCUGCAAUACCUCACAUUCUGGUUACUUGAAGUCAAUAUUUAAUUUAUUUUAAGUAGUAUUUUAUAUUCACCCAUGUAUUUCUCCCCCUGUGGCUCUUUAUUCCUCUCAGUAGCUCUGGGAUCAUUUCACCUCAGCCUGAAGAACGUCCUUUAUUACAAUUCCUUGCCAAGUAGUUCUCUCUGUGGGUGACAAAUUCUCUCAGCUUUUGUUUGUUUGCAAAUAUCUUUAUUUCAUAUUCACUUUCGAGGACUACAGUUUGCUGGGCGUAGAAAUCUAAAUUGGCUUUUGUUUUUGUUUUUGUUUUUUUGCUGUUGUUUUUAACCAGCACUUCAAAAACAUCCUUUGCCCUAUGACAGCUUCUGCUGUUUGUGAGAGAAGUCAGCCAUCUUGAUUGUUCUCCUGAAUAGCACGUGUUCUCUUUACAUUUGAUUUUUAGAAGGUUGGCUACGAUACACCUAAAUAGGAUUUUCUCUGUAUUUGUUCUACCUUGUGUUCACCGAGCUUCUCGUAUCUGCGGUUUCCUGUCUUUAAUCACUUCUGUGCAACUUUCCACCAUCAUAACGGCGAGUAUUGUUUCUUCACUGUUGCCUCUUUUCUUGCCUUCCGAAUCUUCAACCACACGUGUAUUGGACUGUUUGAUGUUGUCCUACAUGUGUCGUAGGUACUCUCUCUCUCUCUCUCUUUUUUUUUUAGAAAAUUAUAGAAUUUUUUUUCUUUCCCUACUUCAGUUUGGAUAAUUUCAUUAUUUAUUUAUUUAUUUAUUUAUUUAUUUU